CAGAGGUGGCAAGCGUUGUCCGGAUUUACUGGGCGUAAAGGAUGCGUAGGUGGAUAUUUAAGUCAGAUGUGAAAUACCCGAGCUUAACUUGGGUGCUGCAUUUGAAACUGGAUAUCUAGAGUGCAGGAGAGGUAAGUGGAAUUCCUAGUGUAGCGGUGAAAUGCGUAGAGAUUAGGAAGAACACCAGUGGCGAAGGCGACUUACUGGACUGUAACUGACACUGAGGCAUGAAAGCGUGGGGAGCAAACAGGAUUAGAUACCCUGGUAGUCCACGCCGUAAACGAUGAGUACUAGGUGUAGGAGGUAUCGACUCCUUCUGUGCCGCAGUUAACACAAUAAGUACUCCGCCUGGGAAGUACGGUCGCAAGAUUA
rnacentral:rRNA from 1 species